CUAAAAGGUCAUGAAAGAGCCGACUGAAUCAGAUGGCACGUUAAAAGACUCAUCAACGGUGGCAGGUUUAUAGAACAUGACAGAGGAAGCUGUGCUUAGCUGAGAAGAGGAAGCAGAGAAGGAAGCAGAGAAAAACAAAGUCUGUGAUAAAAACUGGAAAGGAGCCACAAAAGGCCACAAAAAACAAGGAAGUCCAUUUUGGAACCGGAUCCUGGAGUGACUGAAAAGGCAGAGUGUCAUUUGAGGAUGCGAGUAGUAUAAUCAUACUUUUUUGCAUGGAAGAAAGCAAACAGGGUCUGGAAUUCCUGUGCUCAAGAGAUCCUCCCACCUCAACCUCCCAUGUAGCUGGGAUUACAUUUGCGUGCCACCAUACCUGGCUGAUGCCAAUUUUGAAGGAAGUUUCCCUGUGGGUAAAGUACUAUCAAACAGCAUCAUAUGCAACAGAGAGGUCUUUUGUGAAAGGAAGAGUCGAUCAAUGUGGCAAACUUCAUUGUUGUCUUAUUUUAAGAAACUGCCCCAGCCACCCCAAGAACCUCCAUCAGCAAAAAGAUUACAAGUCACUAAAGGCUCCCAUGAUCAUUAACAUUUUUUAGCAAUGAAAUAUUUUUAAAUUAAGGUGUGUACAUUGUUGUAGACAUAAUACUAUUGCACACGUACUAGAUUAUAGUAACAUAAUUUUAUAUGCCCUGGGAAACUAAAAAAUUCAUGUGACUCACUUUAUUGUGAUAUUCACUUUAUUGCAG
rnacentral:lncRNA from 10 species